CUUGGGACCACCCGUUGCACCGCUCAUCUCCCCAUAUAACCAGUAUGUUAUUUGUUUAGUCUUUGUAUAAACGACCAUCGAUAUAGAGCUUGUCAAUCGACAGCCUAGUUUUUUUUAUUGUUCUUUCUUUCCUCCGCCAUUAUGGGAUAUAGGAGCUUCCUCCGCUUUACUAUCUCUACGGGGAAUUGGUCACUGAUGGAAAAUUUGGACCCUUUAAGCUCCUUUCCUCUUCCCAUUACGACAAGUUUCUUUUUAAGGUCCACAAAUUUGGCCACCACCGGACCCUUUUUGUUUUGUCCAAACGGUGCACUCUAGAGAAGGCAAUGGUUUCAACCUCUCCAUCCCUCGUCCUGAGCUGCUGCUUCAAAAAAGUUUUUGUAAGAAGCUCUGUUACCUCGCAUGUCUCCCUCUCUUCUUCUGGAAUCCCGUGGAUUAUGAUGUUCUCCCUCAUACUUCGGCACUUAAGGCCAGAUAGUCGCUGCCAUUGAUGUACAUGUCUCUGUGAUGAGGAUCUGAGAAAAUACACCGUCACAUCACUGAAUGUUUCAACAUACACUGGAAUUUCUGAACAUGCCAAUGUGACAAUCAUUUGAAGAAAGAAACACCCACAUAAGAACGGCUGUGAUGAUACAGGAUAUGAAUGUCCAGCUCUUAAUGAAGGUCUGUUAAUGUGUUCCUCAGCACAACUAGAUCUGUUUACCAGCAAAACCCCUGAAGUGUGUUACCUCCAUACUGUCCCGACUGUGGUGAAGAGAGCGAUAUGAAAGAGUGCACAUUAUGGUCUGGAAGUGUGGACAGAAUUCCUCGACAUACCAGGCCACCUGCAGCACACACAGACAGAUGUCCUUGUGUUAAUGUUUACAAAGUCAACGUCACAUGUGAAAGAAAACUCAGACAAGUAAAUGCUAAAAUGAGCACAGUGUUAUCAAGAAUAAAUUAAAAAAAUGAAAACUGAACUAUUUACAAGCACAUUAUACGCAUGAGAAAUGCAGCGGUCAGUGAUCUUAUAAAUGUCUAGAUUUACAAGACAAUUAUGUAGGCCAAAAUACUUUCAAAACAGAUGAAUGAUUGUUUGUGUACAUUUUGUGUAAAAUAAAUAAAGCACAUAUAUAUAUAUAUAUAUUGUUAUAUAAUUUAUCAUCACUGAAAUGUAAAAAAAAAAAAACUGAUUUCAGACAGUUCUCGUGUACAGAUCUAACACACAGACCUUGCGAGUAACAGAUGAGGUGGACGCCGUCAGCUGCGUU